UACAGAGGUCCCAAGCGUUGUUCGGAUUCACUGGGCGUAAAGGGUGCGUAGGCGGUCGGGUAAGUCUGAUGUGAAAUCUCACAGCUUAACUGUGAAACUGCAUUGGAUACUAUCCGGCUCGAGGAAUGGAGGGGAGACUGGAAUACUUGGUGUAGCAGUGAAAUGCGUAGAUAUCAAGUAGAACACCAGUGGCGAAGGCGAGUCUCUGGACAUUUCCUGACGCUGAGGCACGAAAGCCAGGGGAGCAAACGGG
rnacentral:rRNA from 1 species